AGAUUUUCCCUUUUCAUCAACUCAACAUCAGCUGAUUAGGGACCUUUUAAUUUCACCUGCAAAAUUUCUUCACCUUUGCCCUAUUCUGAGUGAGAAGCAAGCUGCAGGUACCAUCUGUACUCAGUGAAAGGAUUGAGGUACCAGGAGAAGAGAAUUUCAGAGAACGUCUGAUAAUUUUGCCUAACAUACUGGAAUAAGAAGGUUUGAUAGUCAUUUUUGCAGAAGCUUGAACAAGUAAAGUGGUGUCCUUACUGGGGAAGACUACACGUUGACAUGGAGGCGGCAGGUCAGAAGGAGCCUCAAGUGUUCAUUGUACUCCGCUGAAACCUUGGUGGAAAACAUCUUGGCACUGUCCAUCUAUGAAUGGCUGCAAGAAGGAAGAAAUUAACACAUCUCCGUGAGACUGGUCAUUCCAGGAGAUAGAAGAUAUUUGCAAGAUUUAUGGCCUUUUUACUUUACUUCCUCACCCUCCCUCAUCUCUGUUCUAUAAAACAGAUUGACAUCCAGACCCCAAUAAGAUGGUUAUUUUGAGGCAUUAAUCUGCCAUCUUCUCAGUCUGCUAGCUUUCUGAAGUCGUUAUUCUUUCCUCAAUACCUCAUGUCCGAUUUAUUGGCCUGUUGUGUGGCAAGCAGAGGGAGCUUGGACUUGGUAACAAAUGUAAUCAAUACUCAACUAGAAAAUUUUGCUUUUUCAACUUAUAAUACAUUAGUUUUUUUUAAAUAUUGAAGAAUUCAGAAUAAUAUUAUUUAAUUGAUAUACAGUCUUGAAACAUUGAGCAUUAAAUAAAUUACAAAUGUAUCUCUGAUACUGGGCAUUAAAGUUAAAAAGAAGAAAACCUACUGAGUACUUAGAUGCGCCAGGUGCUGUUUCCCAUGCCUCACGAUGUUUUACCUUGCAGUGUAGCCUGAUCUCUGCACUGUGAGUUUUAUUACUGUUGUAUUUGAUAGAUGAGGACGCUCAGGCACAGAGAUGAAAUACAGUAAGUCCCCUACAUACAAAGCUUCAAGGUUCAGACUUUCAAAGAUGUGAAUGUGUAUCCUAUCAAAUGUCAGGUGUGAGUGAAAUUGCAGCUUGCCUCCAUCGCCUAUUGCUGAUGAUCCUUCAGCUCUAGCAUCUCCCUUCUCCAGUCAGUAACUCUUCUUGCCUGUUCACUCAAGGCCAGUUCCGGAAUGCCAGCUAUUGUACUAUACUACUGUACUUUUCAAGGUUCUGUACA